GCAGUGGCAAAAAGCAUGAUAUGGAUAGUGAUGGUGGAGAAAUGGCAGGAGCAGUGGAAUAGAGAUACUAAGGGCAGGAAUUUAUUUCAAGUACAGAGGAAAGUUGGGGAGGGGAGAACAGCAGGAAGGGACAGAAGACAGGAGACUAUGUUUACAAGAUUAAGAGUGGGACACAGCCAGUUGAAUAAGACUUUACAUGUGAUAGGAAAGCAUCCAACAGGAAAAUCCUGCAGGUACGUGGUGCGGCGCAUCCGGGCUGCAGUGAGAAGGGGAGAGCAGCCAGAGAAGCCCACCGCAGCAUGUAGCCAGGCCAAGGCAUGGAAGGAGGAGGGUAUGCAGAAGAAUGGACAGGUGGAGCCGAUGUUCAAACCCCUGGUAACGGAGCCGGAACCAGGCCUGAAGGUGGCAGAGUGGGCCUCUGGUGAAUGACGUUAGAGAGGGCUGGAUAGAAAACAGGAGAGAGUGUGGAGGAAGGGAUGAGAGGAACAACUGUGUAAAAGAUGCACUGACUCAGUUGCAUUAUUAUCUGUAUCCUGUAAGACUAUAGCAGCAACCUCAUAUGUUGUCCUAUCACAUGCUAUGGAGAGACGCCCACUGCAUUAACUAAUCCUUGCUAAUGCCAUGUCAGUAUGAGGAGUUACAUGUACUGCAUGUUUUCUCUGGCUCAGUAUGAAAUUGUAUGACACUGACCUUGCACAUACAGAUGCAUUCACCUGCUAAUACAACGGAUCACAUUUACUGUGGAAAAAUUCACACAUUAGGUGCACACACACACACACACACACACACACACACACACACACACACACACACACACACACACACACACACACACACACACACACACGCACACACACACUCUCCCCCUCCCACUCCACUCCUGUGGCCAGGUCUCUGUCCUUUGGGGUAGUCGAAGGUCAGAGUGAAAGAGUAACAAGCAGUAGCAGGCAACGAAGAGAAUGAUUGCCUGGACAUCAAUUCCCCACCUGAGGAAAUGCCCAGGCAGGAAGACAAAAACAAACCUUCUGCUGUUAAUAAAGAUACUGCCUCUAUUUCUUCACUGUAUUCUGGGAGAUGUGUAUUUUCAGUAAACAAAGUACUCUUGCCCCCAGUGUGUUUCUGGGUUUCAUCAAUCAUUCUUUAAACAUUGAGCAGCAAAGAGCACACACAGCACAUGGCUUCUAUAAUACAUAUCAGGAUUAUUGUUUAAUAAUGUGUUGAAGUAAAAAAAAAUAAUCACUCUCACACACUCACAUAGUAUACACACUCACACUCACUCUAUCUCCCUCCCUCCCUCUGUC
rnacentral:lncRNA from 1 species